UCUGCAGAAUUCGCCCUUAGAGUUUGAUCAUGGCUCAGAUUGAACGCUGGCGGCAGGCCUAACACAUGCAAGUCGAGCGAGGUUUUCGGACCUAGCGGCGGACGGGUGAGUAAUGCGUAGGAAGCUGCCCGAUAGAGGGGGAUACCAGUUGGAAACGACUGUUAAUACCGCAUAAUGUCUACGGACCAAAGUGUGGGACCUUCGGGCCACAUGCUAUCGGAUGCGCCUACGUGGGAUUAGCUAGUUGGUGGGGUAAUGGCUCACCAAGGCGACGAUCCCUAGCUGGUUUGAGAGGAUGAUCAGCCACACUGGNACUGAGACACGGUNCAGACUCCUANGGGACGCAG
rnacentral:rRNA from 1 species